GGCUUUCGUAGGCAUAUAUUAGUCUUGAAAACUAAUUAAAGACGUUCGACUCGUCUGGAGGCUU
rnacentral:tRNA from 1 species